UUUGGCACUAUUAAGGAUGAAUACACGAAGGUCAUUAAAAAGAUGGAAAGCCACUGCAACAUUAGAAGCUGCAUCAAGACAAGAGGAAACACAUCUUUAACCAAGUUCAGUACCAGCAUCUAACGAUCCCCCAACUUCAGGAGGAUAGUUGUUCUUUUGAUGUAGUAAAUCGACCAGGUUUUUAGAUUUUCCCGUAAGUGGAUCGACCUCAAUAAGUGACCAAUAUGGAUUAAAAUGAUAUGUAAGUCCAGGUGAAACUGCAAGAAGACGACCUGAAAAAAGAAACAAGUUAUAAAAACAAUAUGGAAUGGAAAAGAGAGAAAAUACCUAAGAUGCUCAAGGUCAGCAUUAUUGCGACAUCCGUGUUUAAAUCAUGAAAAAAACCCGAGAUAAAUAUCAAUAAGAAGUUUGGAUAAGGAUACAAGAUACGCAAUGAAAAGAGCAAGUGAAAAAACCUCCCUUGAAGACAGAAAUGACGAGCAAAAUCCGUCCUUGUUAAGCAAAAGAAUGAGGAUUAGGUCUAGAAUUAAACUAUUGAAUUCCUUUAAUGCCUCUGAGCUGGGUACUGACAUCCGCUUUGGAAGAGCGUGCUUUCUUCCCAAAAACAAACUGCUUAUAUCUGACGAAAAAAAUAAGUCUGUAUACGUAUGUAAAGCAAAUGGGAGUAUUUUGAAAAGGUUUACUUUCGACGAUAAACCAUGUGACACCUCAGUAGCAAUUGGUAUAAAUCAAGCCUUUUUUAGUGGAUCUUUCGGCAGUGAAGUUAUUGACACAUCAACUUUACAGUUAGUAGAACCUAUUAGAUUUGACUUUGAAAGAUUUAUGCAUUGUGUGAAUGAUGAUAUAUGGAUUCAGAAAGAUAAAAAUACCCUACACAAGGUUGAUGUGAAUGGAAAAACUUUGACGACAAAGAAAAUAACAAUUCCUAUGCGGGACUGUUGUCAUUCUCUUUGUUCGGAUACAGUGUAUUAUACAAGUUUAUAUGACGAAAUGAUAUACAGAGUACAUGGCGACGGAAGUAAAGAGGUGUUUUACAGCAGCCCUGAACUAGAAUAUCCAUAUGGUAUUGCCAUAGACUGCAAAGACAAUGUCUACGUGGCAGGUAAAAAUUCUAAUACGAUCCACAUGAUAUCAAGUGAUGGCCAUGGAGAAGUAAUUUUGACGGCCAAAGAUGGAAUAUAUAGCCCGCAAGGACUUGCCUAUAAUCACACUACGAAUGAACUAUUAGUUAUUAAUAACAGUCUUAAAUCAGUCUUCAUUUAUAAAAACUAUUUGACUUAAGAUUGAACAAUCAUGGUUCAUUUGUUCCUCCCCACUGCAACGCAAAACUAGUAGACAUAGCAGUGACGGUUGCUCGCACGUCCACGUAGAGGCUCAAGUAAAUUUAUUUGUCAGUAUAUUUUAAUAAAACACAACAGUUACAUUUGUAAUGACUAUAUUCCCGUCGACUUAAAAAAUGAUUCUUGCUGUUUUUAGCUCACCUGGCCCAAUGGGCCUUGUGAGCUUUUCUCAUCACUUGGCGUCAGUCGUCCGUCGUCGUCGUCGUUGUCUGCCCCUGAAUUUGUAAUUUUAAGGAAAUUUUGCAGUUUUUGGUUAUUAUCUUAAAUAUUAUUAUAGAUAGAGAUAAACUGCAAACAGCAAUAAUGUUCAGCAAGGUACGAUCUACAAAUAAGUCAAAUGACCAAAAUUGUCAAUUGACCUCUUAAGGAGUUAUUGCCUUUUAUAUUCAAUUUUUCGUAAAUUUUUGUAAUCUUUUACAAAAAUCUUCUCCACUUAAUCUACUGGAUCAAAUAUUAUUAAACUUAGCCACAAUUUUCAAUAGAGUAUCAUUUUACAUGAUUUCCAAAACAACAGUAGAUACAGGUGAGCGACACAGACUCUUGGGAGCCUCUAGUUUGUAAAAACGUAUAUAUGUUACUUAAUAACACUGAA